rnacentral:lncRNA from 1 species
ACUUGGGGAGGCGGAGGCGGAGGCGGAUCGAAUGGAGCUGUUAGAAAUAGCAAAAACCAAUGCAGCGAAAGCUCUAGGAACAACCAACAUUGACUUGCCAGCUAGUCUCAGAACUGUUCCUUCAGCCAAAGAAACAAGCCGUGGAAUAGGUGUAUCAAGUAAUGGUGCAAAGCCUGAAAAAUCAUGAAUGUGGUCUGCAGACAUUGAUGAAGAAAAUCUGUUGCUGUCGGAAAAGGUAACAGAAGAUGGAACUCGAAAUCCCAAUGAAAAACCUACCCAGCAAAGAAGCAUAGCUUUUAGCUCUAAUAAUUCUGUAGCAAAGCCAAUACAAAAAUCAGCUAAAGCUGCCACAGAAGAGGCAUCUUCAAGAUCACCAAAAAUAGAUCAGAAAAAAAGUCCAUAUGGACUGUGGAUACCUAUCUAAAAGAAGAAAACUGAUGGCUAAGUUUGCAUGAAAACUGCACUUUAUUGCAAAUAUGAGAGAUAGCACAGAUGGACCAAAGGUUAUGCACAGGUGGGAGUCUU